rnacentral:rRNA from 1 species
GUAGGUGGCAAGCGUUGUCCGGAAUUAUUGGGGCGUAAAGCGCGCGCAGGGCGGUCCUUAAAGUCUGAUGUGAAAGCCCACGGCUCAACCGUGGAGGGUCAUUGGAAACUGGGGGACUUGAGUACAGAAGAGGAAAGCGGAAUUCCAAGUGUAGCGGUGAAAUGCGUAGAGAUUUGGAGGAACACCAGUGGCGAAGGCGGCUUUCUGGUCUGUAACUGACGCUGAGGCGCGAAAGCGUGGGGAGCAAACAGGAUUAGAUACCCUGGUAGUCCACGCCGUAAACGAUGGGUGCUAAGUGUUAGGGGUUUCCGCCCCUUAGUGCUGCAGCUAACGCAUUAAGCACUCCGCCUGGGGAGUACGGCCGCAAAGGCUG